AUGGGCCGGAGUGGAAGGAAAAGCAGGAGGACAACUCUGUCCACCAGGAAACACCCAGCGCACUGUGGAAAUGACUGUGCUCUGAAGCGCACCAACCUGCAGUUUGCCCUCCCAGGGAGACAGACGCUGAGGCCACCUGGGCCCUUCAGCGGCAGCGAAUGCCUCUCCCCCAUCGCACACUGGCACAGGCCUUUGCUCCAGCCCUUUGCUCAAUGGAAGGGGACUGUCCUGGACCAGGUGCCCGUAAAUCCUUCUUUGUAUCUUAUAAAAUACGAUGGAUUUGACUGUGUUUAUGGACUAGAACUUAAUAAAGAUGAAAGAGUUUCUGCACUCGAGGUCCUCCCUGAUAGAGUUGCAACAUCUCGAAUCAGCGAUGCACACUUAGCAGACACAAUGAUCGGUAAAGCGGUGGAACAUAUGUUCGAGACAGAGGAUGGCUCUAAAGAUGAAUGGAGGGGCAUGGUCUUAGCACGGGCACCUGUCAUGAACACAUGGUUUUACAUCACUUAUGAGAAAGACCCUGUCUUGUACAUGUACCAGCUCUUAGAUGACUAUAAAGAAGGUGACCUUCGCAUCAUGCCCGAUUCUAAUGAUUCACCUCCAGCAGAAAGGGAACCAGGAGAAGUUGUGGACAGCCUGGUAGGCAAAGAAGUGGAAUAUGCCAAAGAAGAUGGCUCAAAAAGGACUGGCAUGGUCAUUCAUAAAGUAGAAGCUAAACCAUCUGUCUAUUUCAUCAAGUUUGAUGAUGAUUUCCAUAUUUAUGUCUACGAUUUGGUGAAAACAUCCCAGAUGUCAUCGUGAACUUUGCCAAAUUUGUGGAACUAUUAAAUGUAUAAUUUGUAGA